AACAGAGGAUGCAAGCGUUAUCCGGAAUUAUUGGGCGUAAAGUGUCUGUAGGUGGCUUUUCAAGUCCGUCGUCAAAUCCCAGGGCUCAACCCUGGACAGGCGGUGGAAACUACCAAGCUAGAGUACGGUAGAGGCAGAGGGAAUUUCCGGUGGAGCGGUGAAAUGCGUUGAGAUCGGGAAGAACACCAACAGGCGAAAGCACUCUGCUGGGCCGUCACUGACACUCAGAGACGAAAGCUAGGGGAGCGAAUGGG
rnacentral:rRNA from 2 species